rnacentral:rRNA from 1 species
CCUACGGGAGGCAGCAGUGAGGAAUAUUGGUCAGUGGGCGCGAGCCUGAACCAGCCAAGUCGCGUGAGGGAGGACGGCCCUACGGGUUGUAAACCUCUUUUGCCGGGGAGCAACGGGCGGCACGUGUGGCGCCACUGAGAGUACCCGGAGAAAAAGCAUCGGCUAACUCCGGGCCAGCAGCCGCGGUCAUACGGGGGAGGAGAGGGUUAGCCGGAGUUAUUGGGUUUAAAGGGUGCGUAGGCGGAUCGUGAAGGCAGUGGUCAAAUUGAGGGGCUCAACCCCUUCCCGCCAUUGAAACUGGCGCUCUUGAGUGGAAGAGAAGUAUGCGGAAUGCGUGGUGUAGCGGUGACAUGCAUAGAUAUCACGCAGAACCCCGAUUGCGAAGGCAGCAUGCCGGCUUCCGACUGACGCUGAAGCACGAAAGCGUGGGGAUCGAACAGGAUUAGAUACCCUAGUAGUC